rnacentral:rRNA from 1 species
GAUGAACGCUGACAGAAUGCUUAACACAUGCAAGUCGAUGGGGAAGUGGUGCUUGCACCAUGGCAACCAUGGCGGACGGGUGAGUAACGCGUAAGGGACUUACUUGCAGGACUGGGAUAACGGGGGGAAACUCCUGACAAGACCGGAUAAUGUCAUGGAGCUGCAUGGCUUUAUGAUGAAAGGAGACGCCUGCGGAGAGCCUUGCGUCCUAUUAGCUAGUUGGUGAGGUAAUGGCUCACCAAGGCGAAGAUAGGUAGCCGGCCUGAGAGGGUGGACGGCCACAAGGGGACUGAGAUACGGCCCUUACUCCUACGGGAGGCAGCAGUGGGGAAUAUUGGACAAUGGGGGCAACCCUGAUCCAGCAAUUCUGUGUGCACGAAGAAGGUUUUCGGAUUGUAAAGUGCUUUCAGCAGGGAAGAAGUAAGUGACGGUACCUGCAGAAGAAGCGACGGCUAAAUACGUG